GUGGGGAAUCUUCCGCAAUGGACGAAAGUCUGACGGAGCAACGCCGCGUGAGUGAAGAAGGUUUUCGGAUCGUAAAGCUCUUUCGUUAGGGACGAACGUGCUCUUUGUGAAUAAUGAGGAGUAAUGACGGUACCUAAAUAAGAAGCCACGGCUAACUACGUGCCAGCAGCCGCGGUAAUACGUAGGUGGCAAGCGUUGUCCGGAAUUAUUGGGCGUAAAGCGCGCGCAGGCGGGAUAUCAAGUCUGUCUUAAAAGUGCGAGGCUCAACCUCGUGAGGGGACAGAAACUGGUAUUCUUGAGUGUCGGAGAGGAAAGUGGAAUUCCAAGUGUAGCGGUGAAAUGCGUAGAGAUUUGGAAGAACACCAGUGGCGAAGGCGACUUUCUGGACGAUGUCUGACUCUGAGGCGCGAAAGCUAGGGGAGCGAACGGGAUUAGAAACCCCGGUAGUCC
rnacentral:rRNA from 1 species